GACGAACGCUGGCGGCGUGCUUAACACAUGCAAGUCGAGCGGUAAGGCCCUUUCGGGGGUACGACGAGCGGCGAACGGGUGAGUAACACGUGGGUGACCUGCCCUUAGCUCUGGGAUAAGCCUGGGAAACUGGGUCUAAUACCGGAUAUGACUCCAUGACGCAUGUUGUGGGGUGGAAAGCCUUGUGCGGCUAGGGAUGGGCCCGCGGCCUAUCAGCUUGUCGGUGGGGUGAUGGCCUACCAAGGCGACGACGGGUAGCCGGCCUGAGAGGGCGACCGGCCACACUGGGACUGAGACACGGCCCAGACUCCUACGGGAGGCAGCAGUGGGGAAUCUUGCGCAAUGGGCGAAAGCCUGACGCAGCGACGCCGCGUGGGGAUGACGGCCU
rnacentral:rRNA from 1 species